rnacentral:lncRNA from 1 species
GUGUUUUCCAUAUUCCAAGUGCUUAAAUCUAACAUUGCUUCCCAGGAGAGGACCUUGACUCCUACUUUACUAGACAAGCAAAUUAGAAUUCAUUUGCCAAAUUCUCUCAUGUUUCUUCUCUAUAUUAAAAUGUCUGCAUCCACACUAUGUCCAAUUUUCUUAUUUUAACAAAGAGCUGGUUUAUGAAUCAUUUUAAAUUUUUUACGUAGACCUACAAGUUUCUUCCUUGUUUAAAAACUUCCUUUUAAGGGCUAACUAGCCUCUGCUAAAGCCACCUUCAACAGCUGAGCUUUCUUCCUUUCUUCCCCAUCUCCGCCUUCUUCCUCACCCUUUCUAUUCAGUCCAUUUCUGACCAACAGAUUUUUAAAUCAGAAACUGUAAAGAAUCUGUUACCCUACCGAAAUUUAACAGGGAGGCCUCUCACUAUUUUAUAAACACAUAC